rnacentral:rRNA from 1 species
UACAGAGGGUGCGAGCGUUGUCCGGAAUCACUGGGCGUAAAGGGCGCGUAGGUGGCGCUCCAAGUCUGUGGUGAAAAGCUCGACGCUCAACGUCGAGUCGGCCAUAGAGACUGGAGGGCUCGAGCACUGUAGGGGCAGAUGGAAUUCCCGGUGAGCGGUGAAAUGCGUAGAUGCGGGAAGGAACACCUGUGGCGAAAGCGGGCUCACUGGACAGUAACUGACGCUGAGUGCACGAAAGCUAGGGGAGCAAACAGG